rnacentral:misc_RNA from 1 species
AACGCACAUUGCGCCCAUUGGUAUUCCGAUGGGCAUGCCUGUUCGAGCGUCAUUAUCCUCCCUCAAACCUCGUUGGGUUUGGUGUUGGACCAGGCGGGGUGUUGGCCCCGCCGGUCUCAAAGACAAUGACGGCGUCCGUGGGACCCUCGGUGCAACGAGCUUUUCGAAGCACGCGUCGAGUGCCUGUCCCUCCGGGCCGGUCCAGCCUUUUUUAAUCUUUCCAGGUUGACCUCGGAUCAGGUAGGAAUACCCGCUGAACUUAA